UAAAUAUUUAUUUUAAUAAUAUAUUUAAAUUAUUAUUUAAUAAAAAUAUUUUAUUUUUUAUUAUUUUUAAGAAAAAAUAUAAUUUAUUAUAGAUAUUAGUAUUGUAAAAGAUUAUUUUUAAAUAUUAAAAAGAAAUAUUUAUUUUUUGUACCUUGUGUAUCAGGGUUGAUUAACUAUAAAUUAUAUAUUUAGUAUUUCUCGAAUUUAGAAGAGUUAAUUUAUUAUAAUUUUUAUUGUAGAAUAACUAUUAUAAAUAAUAAAUUGGGAGUGAAAUGUUAUUAGUUUUUAAAUAUAUCUAGUUUUUUAAGAAAAAAGUUUAAUUUAUUAAUUAAUUUGGAUUUUUUUAAAUUUUUAUUUAAAUUUAGUUAAUUAAUUAUAUUUUAAGGGAUAAGCUUUAAAGUAAAAUUUUAUAAGAUUAAUAUAUAUAUAUUAAAUGUAGGAUUAGAAUUUUUUAUCAUUAAUAAAAUGUUAUAAUUAAUUAUAUUAAAGAUAUAAUUUAUAUGAUUUUUAAGUUUUUUAUUAAAAUUAUUUAAAUAAUUUUUAAUUAAUUGUAAUAAUGAUUAAAUUAGUAUAUUAAUUUUUAUAUUUAAUUAUAUAAUAUUAGGUUUUUAAAAGGAAUUCGGCAAAUAUUUUUUUACCUGUUUAUUAAAAACAUGGCUUUUCGUUUUAAUUUAAGGUCUGACCUGCCCAAUGAAAAAUUUAAAUGGCCGCGGUACUUUGACCGUGCAAAGGUAGCAUAAUCAUUAGUUUUUUAAUUGAAAGCUGGAAUGAAAGGUUGGAUAAGAAAAAUUCUGUCUCUUAAAAAUUUAAUUAGAAUUUUAUUUUUAAGUUAAAAAGCUUAAAUUUAAUUUAUAGACGAGAAGACCCUUUAGAAUUUUAUAUAAUUAAUUUAUUUAAUUUUUAGUAUUUAAUAAUUAAAUUUUUAAAAUUAUAUUUGGUUGGGGUGAUUGAAAAAUUUAAUGAACUUUUUUUUUAUUAUAACAUUAAUUUAUGAAUAAUUGAUCCAAUUUAUUAUUGAUUAAAAGAAUAAAUUACCUAAGGGAUAACAGCGUUAUUUUUUUUGAGAGUUCAAAUCGAAAAAAAAGAUUGCGACCUCGAUGUUGGAUUAAAAUUAAAUUAUGGUGCAGCAGCUAUAACUUUAGGUCUGUUCGACCUUUAAAAUUUUACAUGAUCUGAGUUUAAACCGGCGUGAGCCAGGUUGGUUUCUAUCUUAAAUACAAUUUAAUAUUUUAGUACGAAAGGAUUAAAUAUCAGAUUUAUUAAAAUUUUAGAUUUGAAUAUUAUU
rnacentral:rRNA from 1 species